UGUGAGCUCGAUGAGUAGGGCGGGACACGUGGUAUCCUGUCUGAAUAUGGGGGGACCAUCCUCCAAGGCUAAAUACUCCUGACUGACCGAUAGUGAACCAGUACCGUGAGGGAAAGGCGAAAAGAACCCCGGCGAGGGGAGUGAAAAAGAACCUGAAACCGUGUACGUACAAGCAGUGGGAGCCUCUUUAUGGGGUGACUGCGUACCUUUUGUAUAAUGGGUCAGCGACUUAUAUUCUGUAGCAAGGUUAACCGAAUAGGGGAGCCGAAGGGAAACCGAGUCUUAACUGGGCGUUAAGUUGCAGGGUAUAGACCCGAAACCCGGUGAUCUAGCCAUGGGCAGGUUGAAGGUUGGGUAACACUAACUGGAGGACCGAACCGACUAAUGUUGAAAAAUUAGCGGAUGACUUGUGGCUGGGGGUGAAAGGCCAAUCAAACCGGGAGAUAGCUGGUUCUCCCCGAAAGCUAUUUAGGUAGCGCCUCGUGAAUUCAUCUCCGGGGGUAGAGCACUGUUUCGGCAAGGGGGUCAUCCCGACUUACCAACCCGAUGCAAACUGCGAAUACCGGAGAAUGUUAUCACGGGAGACACACGGCGGGUGCUAACGUCCGUCGUGAAGAGGGAAACAACCCAGACCGCCAGCUAAGGUCCCAAAGUCAUGGUUAAGUGGGAAACGAUGUGGGAAGGCCCAGACAGCCAGGAUGUUGGCUUAGAAGCAGCCAUCAUUUAAAGAAAGCGUAAUAGCUCACUGGUCGAGUCGGCCUGCGCGGAAGAUGUAACGGGGCUAAACCAUGCACCGAAGCUGCGGCAGCGACACUAUGUGUUGUUGGGUAGGGGAGCGUUCUGUAAGCCUGUGAAGGUGUGCUGUGAGGCAUGCUGGAGGUAUCAGAAGUGCGAAUGCUGACAUAAGUAACGAUAAAGCGGGUGAAAAGCCCGCUCGCCGGAAGACCAAGGGUUCCUGUCCAACGUUAAUCGGGGCAGGGUGAGUCGACCCCUAAGGCGAGGCCGAAAGGCGUAGUCGAUGGGAAACAGGUUAAUAUUCCUGUACUUGGUGUUACUGCGAAGGGGGGACGGAGAAGGCUAUGUUGGCCGGGCGACGGUUGUCCCGGUUUAAGCGUGUAGGCUGGUUUUCCAGGCAAAUCCGGAAAAUCAAGGCUGAGGCGUGAUGACGAGGCACUACGGUGCUGAAGCAACAAAUGCCCUGCUUCCAGGAAAAGCCUCUAAGCAUCAGGUAACAUCAAAUCGUACCCCAAACCGACACAGGUGGUCAGGUAGAGAAUACCAAGGCGCUUGAGAGAACUCGGGUGAAGGAACUAGGCAAAAUGGUGCCGUAACUUCGGGAGAAGGCACGCUGAUAUGUAGGUGAAGCGACUUGCUCGUGGAGCUGAAAUCAGUCGAAGAUACCAGCUGGCUGCAACUGUUUAUUAAAAACACAGCACUGUGCAAACACGAAAGUGGACGUAUACGGUGUGACGCCUGCCCGGUGCCGGAAGGUUAAUUGAUGGGGUCAGCGCAAGCGAAGCUCUUGAUCGAAGCCCCGGUAAACGGCGGCCGUAACUAUAACGGUCCUAAGGUAGCGAAAUUCCUUGUCGGGUAAGUUCCGACCUGCACGAAUGGCGUAAUGAUGGCCAGGCUGUCUCCACCCGAGACUCAGUGAAAUUGAACUCGCUGUGAAGAUGCAGUGUACCCGCGGCAAGACGGAAAGACCCCGUGAACCUUUACUAUAGCUUGACACUGAACAUUGAGCCUUGAUGUGUAGGAUAGGUGGGAGGCUUUGAAGUGUGGACGCCAGUCUGCAUGGAGCCGACCUUGAAAUACCACCCUUUAAUGUUUGAUGUUCUAACGUGGACCCGUGAUCCGGGUUGCGGACAGUGUCUGGUGGGUAGUUUGACUGGGGCGGUCUCCUCCUAAAGAGUAACGGAGGAGCACGAAGGUUGGCUAAUCCUGGUCGGACAUCAGGAGGUUAGUGCAAUGGCAUAAGCCAGCUUGACUGCGAGCGUGACGGCGCGAGCAGGUGCGAAAGCAGGUCAUAGUGAUCCGGUGGUUCUGAAUGGAAGGGCCAUCGCUCAACGGAUAAAAGGUACUCCGGGGAUAACAGGCUGAUACCGCCCAAGAGUUCAUAUCGACGGCGGUGUUUGGCACCUCGAUGUCGGCUCAUCACAUCCUGGGGCUGAAGUAGGUCCCAAGGGUAUGGCUGUUCGCCAUUUAAAGUGGUACGCGAGCUGGGUUUAGAACGUCGUGAGACAGUUCGGUCCCUAUCUGCCGUGGGCGCUGGAGAACUGAGGGGGGCUGCUCCUAGUACGAGAGGACCGGAGUGGACGCAUCACUGGUGUUCGGGUUGUCAUGCCAAUGGCACUGCCCGGUAGCUAAAUGCGGAAGAGAUAAGUGCUGAAAGCAUCUAAGCACGAAACUUGCCCCGAGAUGAGUUCUCCCUGACUCCUUGAGAGUCCUGAAGGAACGUUGAAGACGACGACGUUGAUAGGCCGGGUGUGUAAGCGCAGCGAUGCGUUGAGCUAACCGGUACUAAUGAACCGUGAGGCUUAACCUUACAACGCCGAAG
rnacentral:rRNA from 1 species